rnacentral:rRNA from 1 species
AUGCCAUUCCUUCGACCGUCACCUGCUCCCCCAAGAGCAUGUACGGUUGAUCUGUGGAGGAUGGAUGCUAUGGAUGAUGGCCCUAAUAUGGGUACCGAGGGUGUUGCUCUCAAGACACAAAGGGUGAAGCAGCUUGUUCAUGUUAACAUCAAAGUUAGAGUUCUUCCAUAUCGGGCCGUGCUUGCUGAUGGCGCCGAGGAACAAAUGGAGCGGCAGGAUAUUGAAAUGCAGAUUAGAUGGAAGGGGCUCACUUUAAACAAAUUUGCAUACGACUUGAGCCAAUACACACCAUGGGGCCCAUGGCAGGAGGUGCAUCUGUUUGGCUAUGAUAAGGAUUCAGAUGAGGAAUGCAGACUGGUUAGCACUAAGCAAUUGAGAAGCCAUUUGAUUGACCAUAUGUGGGGAGAGGAAGAAAAAGUGAAGAUGCUAGUUGAGGUGCAUACAAAACCUGCUAAGAAAUCUGUCGCGAAGAGAGCUAACAAGCCUACUAAGGAACCAGCUGCUAAGAAACCUAAGAAGGCACCUAUUGAGAAGGCACCUAAAAUCCUAAAAUCGGCUAUGGAUGAUGUACUAUGCAGUGCUACAUCAUCUGUGGUUGUGGACAAUGCGAAUGAGGAAGCACUUGAGGUUGUUCAAUCAAUGGCGAGUCAAACAAGUGCUUUUGUUGACAAUGAUAUUAACUUCACAGCAUGUGAUGUUGUUCAACCCAAUAUGCCAUCAAUUUCUGACAUUGCUGAAAGCAAUGAGCAAUGCGGGUCUUCAGUGGUGUUGGAUAUCGAACCACCAAUUGAUUGGAGCCUAAUUGAGAUUGCUCCUCCAAAUGAAGAUGAAGUGGAUGUUCCAGUUACAGAGGAGAAUAUGUGUGAUUUUCUAGGUAUCGAGGAGGAUGAGACACAUGAAGCACCUUCUUCGCCACCUAGUGAAGAUGCGUAUCUCACUGAUGAGGAGGACCAACAACUAUUAACUGAGGCUGCUAUUCCUGUUGAUGACAAGAUAGCUCAAGAGGAGGAGAUUGCAUAUGACAAAGAGAACCCUCAUAUGAAGAGAAAACAGAGAGCAAGAACAUAUCCUGCUGAAGAUGAUGAGCCAGGACCUCAAAUUGGUGGUGCUCCUGUUGGCACACCCAACAGGCAAAUUGGUGGCGCUCCUGUUGGCACACCCAAUAGGCAAAUGCUUACUAUUCCUGCCAGUCUCCAUGAUAGUCCUAGGCCAGUGACAAGAAGGAUGCUGGCUAUGGCCUUGGCCGAUGAAUCAUCAGAGCCAACAGAGGUACCUUCGACCUCGCGUGAAACAUUGAAACAAUUACUGAAAACCGUGAAUUUCUGGGAGAAUUUGAGAUCAUUUGGCGGAGCAGAAAUUAGAAUAUUAAGAAGUACCCAAAAUGACAAAUCUGAAGUUCACAACUUCAGAAAGUACACAUAA